rnacentral:rRNA from 1 species
CCUACGGGAGGCAGCAGUGAGGAAUAUUGGUCAAUGGGCGCGAGCCUGAACCAGCCAAGUCGCGUGAGGGAAGACGGCCCUAUGGAUUGUAAACCUCUUUUGUCGGGGAGCAAAAGACGCCACGCGUGGCGUUCCGAGAGUACCCGAAGAAAAAGCAUCGGCUAACUCCGUGCCAGCAGCCGCGGUAAUACGGGGGAUGCGAGCGGUAUCCGGAUUUAUUGGGUUUAAAGGGUGCGCAGGCGGAAGAUCAAGUCAGCGGUAAAAAUGAGGGGGGCAACCCCUUCGAGCCGUUGAAACUGGUGUUGUUGAGUGAGUGAGAAGUAGACGGAAUGCGUGGUGGAGCAGUGA